CCUACGGGAGGCAGUAGUGGGGAAUAUUGGGCAAUGGGCGCAAGCCUGACCCAGCAACGCCGCGUGAAGGAAGAAGGCUUUCGGGUUGUAAACUUCUUUUAAGAGGGAAGAGCAGAAGACGGUACCUCUUGAAUAAGCCACGGCUAACUACGUGCCAGCAGCCGCGGUAAUACGUAGGUGCCAAGCGUUGCCCGGAUUUACUGGGUGUAAAGGGCGUGUAGCCGGGCUGACAAGUCAGUUGUGAAAUCCCGUGGCUCAACCACGGAACUGCAUUUGAAACUGGCGGUCUUGAGUAUCGGAGAGGCAGGCGGAAUUCCUAGUGUAGCGGUGAAAUGCGUAGAUAUUAGGAGGAACACCAGUGGCGAAGGCGGCCUGCUGGACGACAACUGACGGUGAGGCGCGAAAGCGUGGGGAGCAAACAGGAUUAGAUACCCCAGUAGUC
rnacentral:rRNA from 1 species